GACGAACGCUGGCGGCGUGCUUAACACAUGCAAGUCGAACGGAAAGGCCCUGCUUUUGUGGGGUGCUCGAGUGGCGAACGGGUGAGUAACACGUGAGUAACCUGCCCUUGACUUUGGGAUAACUUCAGGAAACUGGGGCUAAUACCGGAUAGGAGCUCCUGCUGCAUGGUGGGGGUUGGAAAGUUUCGGCGGUUGGGGACGGACUCGCGGCUUAUGAGCUUGUUGGUGGGGUAGUGGCUUACCAAGGCUGUGACGGGUAGCCGGCCUGAGAGGGUGACCGGCCACAUUGGGACUGAGAUACGGCCCAGACUCCUAGGGGAGGCAGCAGUAGGGAAUCUUCCGCAAUGGGCGAAAGCCUGACGGAGCAACGCCGCGUGAGUGAUGAAGGUCUUCGGAUCGUAAAACUCUGUUAUUAGGGAAGAACAAAUGUGUAAGUAACUAUGCACGUCUUGACGGUACCUAAUCAGAAAGCCACGGCUAACUACGUG
rnacentral:rRNA from 1 species